UGAAACUCGCCUACAUGAAGCUGGAGUUGCUAGUAAUCGCGAAUCAGCAUGUCGCGGUGAAUACGUUCCCGGGCCUUGUACACACCGCCCGUCACACCAUGAGAGUUGGCAAUACCCAACGUACGUGAUCUAACCCGCAAGGGAGGAAGCGUCCUAAGGUAGGGUCAGCGAUUGGGGUGAAGUCGUAACAAGGUAAC
rnacentral:rRNA from 1 species